AUCGCUUCUCGGCCUGAUGGCUAAGAUCAAAGUGUAGUAUCUGUUCUUAUCAGCUUAAUAUCUGAUACACUCUCCAUAGGAGAGUCAGUAUAUUAACCUGAUUUUUGGGACUGGGCGGAGUUUCUGGGGCUCGCUCCUGCUCCGCCGCGGGUCAGCCCGGUAUUGCAGUGCCGCUGGGAUUGGCCCAAUAAAC
rfam:Melipona quadrifasciata isolate 0111107301 unplaced genomic scaffold scaffold134, whole genome shotgun sequence.